AUAUCAUGCACGACUUGGUAACCUGUGUUAGGUUACCAAGUCGUGCAUGAUAUAA
rnacentral:precursor_RNA from 1 species